rnacentral:lncRNA from 1 species
GAGAAUUAGAUAUAAAUAGAAGAAGUGAUAUCACAAAAAGAGAAGCCAUCCAUUUAAUCUUCAAAUAGUAUUCCAAAUUAUUCUCAAAAUUAAUAACCAUAAAAUAAUAAAACAAUUGUGAAAAAAUAUAUCAAAGAAAAGAUAUAGCUUUAGGAGAAUAAAGUUCAUAGGACUUAAAUAAAUGUCUUGGAAAGGAAGGAGAAAAGAUUAAAGUCUAGGUAGGAGAUUUUAGAUGAACUUUCUUACUUUCAGGCUCCUCUACCCAUUCCUGUAGGGUAGUAAUUUCAGCCCACACAUACCUUUUAAAGUUCGUUCCCUCUUCAUCUUUCCGUUGAAGCUAAGCUAUUUCAGCUUCCCUUAGAGCCAAACACUUUGGUUAUUUAUCACUCAUCCUGAGAAUACAUUUGGUUUCCUCACUGGGUGAUAUAAUAACCAUUCCCUUUACUGAGUCUUCUUUCACUUUCCCACCUUCUUUGGACAAGCUGGAAUUGUACGUUAGUCUUCUGAUAUCAGACUAUUCUAUUUCGUUUCUCUUCUCUUUCUUUUGGAUCGCAUCCUCUCUUUUUCUAUGAUUUUACCUUUUACUAUUUAUGUACUCCUCACAAUUAGACUAAUUAAACACCCCUCACAGUUACUUAAUUCCUCAAACAUGUGCUCAAUCAUACUAACCUUACUAUCAUUGGUCAAACUUAUAGAAUCGUCUGUAAAUUUUCCAAGAAUAAGAGGGGAUCUAACAUCUUCAUCAUCAAAGUUUUACAGUGGAUCAUUUUGUCUCCAAAUGGACAAGCUUGAACAUUCCUUUUUGCACAUGGCUGAAAUAAGAAUCUCUUUGGAGUUGGGAAAUUUAAAUAAGGGAAGUAGGAACUUUGAAAGAUUCAAGGACAAAUAAGAUUUGAUGAGAGAAGUUUUCAAAGUGAGAGAGGAAACUAAUCUAUUUUUG